GCCAGCGUGGUGUAAUGGGUUGAGUGUUGGACUAGGACUCUGGAGGCCUGGGUUCGAAUCCCGGCUCAGCUA